rnacentral:rRNA from 1 species
GACGAACGCUGGCGGCGUGCUUAACACAUGCAAGUCGAACGGACAGGCCUCUUUCGGGGGGUACUCGAGUGGCGAACGGGUGAGUAACACGUGAGUAACCUGCCCUUGACUUUGGGAUAACUUCCGGAAACUGGGGCUAAUACCGGAUAGGAGCUCCUGCUGCAUGGUGGGGGUUGGAGAGUUUCGGCGGUUGGGGAUGGACUCGCGGCUUAUCAGCUUGUUGGUGGGGUAGUGGCUUACCAAGGCUUUGACGGGUAGCCGGCCUGAGAGGGUGACCGGCCACAUUGGGACUGAGAUACGGCCCAGACUCCUACGGGAGGCAGCAGUGGGGAAUAUUGCACAAUGGGCGGAAGCCUGAUGCAGCAACGCCGCGUGCGGGAUGACGGCCUUCGGGUUGUAAACCGCUUUCGCCUGUGACGAAGCGUGAGUGACGGUAAUGGGUAAAGAAGCACCGGCUAACUACGUG